UAGGGAAUCUUCCACAAUGGACGCAAGUCUGAUGGAGCAACGCCGCGUGAGUGAAGAAGGUUUUCGGACCGUAAAGCUCUGUUGUUGGUGAAGAAGGAUAGAGGUAGUAACUGGCCUUUAUUUGACGGUAAUCAACCAGAAAGUCACGGCUAACUACGUGCCAGCAGCCGCGGUAAUCGUAGGUGGCAAGCGUUGUCCGGAUUUAUUGGGCGUAAAGCGAGCGCAGGCGGAAGAAUAAGUCUGAUGUGAAAGCCCUCGGCUUAACCGAGGAAAUUGCAUCGGAAACUGUUUUCUUGAGUGCAGAAGAGGAGAGUAGAACUCCAUGUGUAGCGGUGGAAUGCGUAGAUAUAUGGAAGAAUACCAGUGGCGAAGGCGGCUCUCUGGUCUGCAACUGACGCUGAGGCUCGAAAGCAUGGGUAGCGAACAGGAUUAGAUACCCUGGUAGUCCAUGCCGUAAACGAUGAGUGCUAAGUGUU
rnacentral:rRNA from 1 species